rnacentral:other from 1 species
GCGGGGCUGCUGGGUGCGUCAGGCUCGAUCAUCCCCGGGGCCGAUAGCAACCUCCCGGGAGCUGGCUCUGCCGUGGCCGUGGUCACGGUAUCUGGCGCCCACCUGCACUAGCAGGCUCUGGGAGGAUGGCAUAGCCAACGGCCAUGGCGGCUCCGCA